AGUGAACGCUGGCGGCAGGCCUAACACAUGCAAGUCGAACGAACUCUUCGGAGUUAGUGGCGGACGGGUGAGUAACACGUGGGAACGUGCCUUUUGGUUCGGAAUAACUCAGUGAAACUUGUGCUAAUACCGAAUGUGCCCUUCGGGGGAAAGAUUUAUCGCCAUUAGAGCGGCCCGCGUCUGAUUAGCUAGUUGGUGAGGUAACGGCUCACCAAGGCGACGAUCAGUAGCUGGUCUGAGAGGAUGACCAGCCACACUGGGACUGAGACACGGCCCAGACUCCUACGGGAGGGAGCAGUGGGGAAUCUUGCGCAAUGGGCGAAAGCCUGACGCAGCCAUGCCGCGUGAAUGAUGAAGGUCUUAGGAUUGUAAAAUUCUUUCACCGGGGACGAUAAUGACGGUACCCGGAGAAGAAGCCCCGGCUAACUUCGUG
rnacentral:rRNA from 1 species